rnacentral:rRNA from 1 species
CUAAGUUUGAUGGCGACCGGCGCACGGGUGAGUAACACGUAUCCAACCUGCCGAUGACUCGGGGAUAGCCUUUCGAAAGAAAGAUUAAUACCCGAUGGCAUAGUUCUUCCGCAUAGUAGAACUAUUAAAGAAUUUCGGUCAUCGAUGGGGAUGCGUUCCAUUAGGUUGUUGGCGGGGUAACGGCCCACCAAGCCUUCGAUGGAUAGGGGUUCUGAGAGGAAGGUCCCCCACAUUGGAACUGAGACACGGUCCAAACUCCUACGGGAGGCAGCAUG